GGCCUAGUGGCGAAAUGGUUAACGCGGCUGUCUGCAAAACAGCUAUUCGCCGGUUCGAUUCCGGCCUAGGCCUCCA
rnacentral:tRNA from 1 species